rnacentral:rRNA from 1 species
AAUGAACGUUGGCGGCGUGGAUUAGGCAUGCAAGUCGAACGGGCCGCAAGGCCAGUGGCGCAAGGGUGAGUAAGGCGACGGUAACCAACCCCACGGUCGGGUAUAGCCGCGGGAAACCGCGGGUAAUCCCCAGCGACGUCACGGGGGCGGCAUCCCCCCCUGACCAAAGCGUUAGCGCCGGGGGACGGGCCGUCGUGGUAUUAGGUCGUUGGCGGGGUAACGGCCCACCAAGCCUCUGAUGCCUACCGGGCGUGCGAGCGUGGCCCGGCACACUGGGACUGAGACACUGCCCAGACUCCUACGGGAGGCUGCAGUCGAGAAUCUUCGGCAAUGGGCGCAAGCCUGACCGAGCGACGCCGCGUGGGGGACGAAGGCCCUCGGGUUGUAAACCCCUGCCGAGGGGGGAGAAGGCGCCGAAAGGCGCUUGACUGAUCCCUGGAGGAAGCACGGGCUAAGUUCGUGCCAGCCGCCGCAGUAAAAC